rnacentral:rRNA from 1 species
ACUUUUCCCACACAAAGUUAUACCAGAGAAAUACAGUCAUGCUAAAACUUAAAGAACUUGGCGGUUUUCUAGAUCUGCCCGGAGGAGCUUGUUGUUGAAUUGAUAACCCACAAGGAACCUCACCCCUUAAAGAAUUUCAGCUUGUAUACCAUCGUCGUCAGUUCACCUCAUAAGAGAGUGGACAAAAUGAAAGAAUUCUUAACGUCAGAUCAAGGUGCAGCCUAUAAAGGGGGAAUGAAUGAGCUACUAUAUUUAAAAAACAGAGAAAGUAGAGUAUGAAAAACCUACAGAAAGAGGAUUCGACAGUAACAAAUAUAGAGAAAUAUUAAGUGAAGUUAGCUCUAGAAUGCGC